UACGUAGGGGGCAAGCGUUGUCCGGAAUCAUUGGGCGUAAAGGGCGCGUAGGCGGCCUUCUAAGUCGAACGUGAAAUCCCCGGGCUCAACCCGGGAACUGCGUCCGAUACUGGAAGGCUUGAAUCCGGGAGAGGGAUGUGGAAUUCCAGGUGUAGCGGUGAAAUGCGUAGAUAUCUGGAGGAACACCGGUGGCGAAGGCGACAUCCUGGACCGGUAUUGACGCUGAGGCGCGAAAGCCAGGGGAGCAAACGGG
rnacentral:rRNA from 1 species